ACGCAACGGCCCAUGGAUAAAGCUGAAUUACGACCGCUAGAUUGGGUCCAACAGGCCCAUCUAAAAAAGGAGCCCACCAAAUCACCACCGCCCCUUCCCUUCCGGCUCGAUGGCCGCCGCUUCGCCGCCGGCGGCGGCGGCGGAGGUCGUUGUAUCCCUCCACUCUGUCCCAGCCAACUAAUAGCGUAAGAGACAGGAGAAUCGCGGCGCGGAGCGGCCUCUAUAGGAGCAGGCAGCGGGCGCCUCAUCGUCCUCCGAUUCCAUUCCGCCAUGGUCGACGACCCCCAUCUUCCUCCUCGCCUGCGGCAAGCAAGGAGGAUGCAUAUUGGGGAUUCCAACUCAAACUACAAGAGCAGGGAUUUGAACUGUUCUAUGUGAAAUUUAUGCAAAAAUUCGUAUGGAACUCUACUGUUCCAGACAGUUUGGCAUUAGCUCCGGAUUGGGAUUAUUCAUCAAUUCGUUAUUCCUUUCUUGUUCAAUUCCUAACCAAUCAAUCAGUCAUACUUGCUGCUUAUUUUAGCAAGAAGAUCACAGAGCUCCCUUGGUUUGGAGCACAUGAUGUUGUGGUCGGCUCCAGCAAUCUCCUCGACUUCCGUGCCCGGGCUCAACGUGAUCAAAUAACGAUGCAGCUCCUUGAUGUCAUCCCCCAUGCCUAUCAGGCACACCCUCUUCACCGAACCAUAGUUGGCACUGGUAAGCAGCUUGUCAUCCUUCAUCAUCGGAUCAUCCUGGAACUGGCUGCCAGGUGUCAUCAAUAAUUUUGCCAGGGUCAAAUCCUACCCAAAAAAAAAAUCAAAUGCUAGUCUAAUGAGAUUUGAGAUACCAGUUACCAGCUAUUAGGACAAUAGCAAUCUUAAUUCCAAAUUAAAUGCUAAACUGGAACUUGCAAGAAACCAGAGUUCAUGAUGCUAGUUGAUUGCCUCAGCUGGACUUAGUGGAUAACACCUCUCUGCCAAGAAAUUUGGGCCUAGGGUUACUGCUGUUCCUGGACCUCGUUUGUUGUUCAUUGGUAUCAUUUUGCUAUCCAUGAGCAGACCUUUGGGAGCUCUUUCCCUCAUCAACUGUACAUAUAUCAAGAAAAAUAGAAGCAUUAGUAGUUAAAUAAAUGUUCAGAAAUUAGAGCGAGUAAUAAGGCAAAGUUUUUGCCUUUGUUCUAAAAAAAACUUUGCUGACUACCUCCCUGACGAUUCCCAUGUGCUUGCCGACGCAUGGCAUGGACGAGGCGGCAAACACGGCCACGGCGAUCUUGUCCGGGAACCUCUCCAUUGCGAGCGCGAUGCUUAGGCCGCCGAAGCUGUGCCCUACGAGGAUCAGCCUCUCACCCGCAGGAGCCACAGCCACUGUGUCGAGGAGCGGUCGCGACUAGUCCUCGAAAGAGUGCACCUCGUCGAUGCGUGCCGGGUGCACGCCGGACGCAGCGAGGUCGAGUGCCGUAACACGGUGCCCCUCAGAGCGGAGCAUGGUGACCACCUUGUACCAGCACCAUGCUCCAUGGCAAAGGCCAUGGACAGGGAUGAAAUGCUUGCUACUGCCACCGCCGCUGCCUUCCAUUUCCUGUAAGUGUCUUGGUUGUAGUGUGUCUCUCUUUGAGUUUCUGAUAUAUUUAUACAGAAGUUGCUACGGAUUGAUUGCCAUUAUCAAAUAUAUAUAUAUGGUAGUAGCAUUUACCUAAACACUGUAGUUACCAUUUAGGUUGAUGAUCUAUUCACUGAGUUGGACGUGCUAGCUGUCAGCCUUCAUACACUAAAUUGUAUGGACUUUGAUCAUGAUCCAUUUGACAGUGAUCAUGAAUUGCUCUAGUUUGGUUAAGUACUUAUUACAGGUUCUAAGACUAAACCCAACAAGUUUAUAUAUGUAUAAUGAGCUCCAGGUAGCCUCAAAUUUACUUUGUAGAUGUUCAUCUUUUUCUGGAAUUUCCCCCUCAAUUUUCAACCAUCUCUUCUCUUUUCCAUGAUUCCAUCUAAUUCAUUGUGCUGGUUCUACCUUUCAUUUUGUGAGACUGGUUCCCUGAGCUCCCUCUCAAUCUGUCACUCAGCCACACGCUGCCCCAGCUCUCUACCCCUCUUGACUACUGCUGCUUCUGUAUGCUAAUUAAGAAUCUAUCCAAGUUCAGUUAGAUCACCCUACUGUGAUGUGUGAUAAAUCCCAAUUUGGAAGUAAUGGUGGACAAGGUGGUUCCCUUGGAUAAUUUUGAAAGGAUAGUUCCUCCUUGGAUGAUUAAUCAACCUAGAGCUAGAAUCUGGACAAGGUACAGGAAAUGAUUGCAAAUUCAAAUCAUGACAGUAAUUUUCUGAUGUGUAUACGCCCAUCUGUUUGUGAGGUUGGUGGAGGCGUGGAGUCUGGUUGGACCGGGGACCCUAAUGGUAGCUGGCUUGGAUGCCUGGGGUGGACAGGUGACCUAAACAGUAGCUGGGGUGUGAAAAAAUGGUACUGUGUGCUUUACUGCUUUCUGGAGGAGAUUUUGGAAAGUGCAUGGGUACUGUUUGCUGCAAUGCUCCCUUUGUCCCCUUCUCUUACUUCAUACUUACUCCCUCUAUCCCAAAAUAACUCCAACCCUAUCUUCCCAAGGUGGAUUUAAGACCAAAAUACCCAUAAUUAAUAAUAAAGUUAUAUUGGUGGGUGGGUAGGUUUGGGGUAUUGAAGGGAUAAAAUUUCUCGAUUUGCGGAUCAAUGAUAGGUAAGAAGGUAGAAGCUAGUUUAUUUUGGGACAAUUUUCAAACUAUAAAAUUAAUUUAUUAUGGGACGGAGGAGUAGUUCAUAUCUAACACUGAAAAUAUGUAACUUGCUAAUUAAUUGUUCCUCUUGUGGCUUGGACAUGAUUGGUUGCUGGAUUGUGGCUUUCCUUUGUAUGAUGAAAGAUGACCAAGGGCAUCUCCAUGCGUUGUUCACAAACAUAGAGCAUGAUACUGCUACAGCAACCGCAACAUUGAUUCUUUUGUCGCAGCGGGCUGGUUUGGUGCUGGGUCCACAUUUUUAUCGUUCUUUUCUCCUUAAUUUUUCUCAUGGGCGAUUUCUUUACUAACUCUGGUUUGAACGAGCAUACCAUCUAUCUUGUUAUGCAGGCUCCCGUGGACUGAGUCCAUCUCUUCUAGGUUCGGUCAUUUGCAUACACUGGAGAUGGCCUAAGCUAGAUGUGCUGCUCUCUCGGAUGCUCGGGAUCACUCACUCUUGGCAGGUCCUAUAUUAUGAGGCAUCAAAUGGCUUACAAGAGCAUGAAAUAUUUGCAAAAUUCAUAUGAAACUCAAUUGUUCCAAGCAGAGCCUGCAUUAGCUCUGGACAGGAUUUAUUCAUCAUUUUUUUUCUUGCCCAAUUUCUAACCAAUCAAUUAGUCAUACUUGCUACCUAUCUUAGCAAGAAGAUCAGAGAGCUCCCUCGGCCUGGAGCACAUGACGGCGUGGUCGGCCCCGGCAAUCUCUUCGACUUCCACGCCCGGGCUCAACGUAAUCAUGUAACGGUGCACCUCCUUCAAGUCAUCCUCCAUGGCCAUCAGGCACACCCUCUUUACCGAACCGUAGUUGGCACUGGUAAGCAGCCUGUCAUCCUUCAUCGUUGGAUCAUCCACGAACUGGCUGGUAGGUCUCACCAAUAAUUUCGCCAGUGUCAAGUCCUACAAUAUACCGUAGAUAUGCUAAUGUAAUGAGAUUUGAGAUAUCAGUUAGUCUGAAUUCUCAAAUUAAAUGCAAAUUGGAACUUUCAAGAAACCAGAGAUAAUAUGCUAGUUCAUUGCCUCAGCUGGACUUAGUGGAUAACCCUUCUCCGCCAAGAAAUUUGGGCCUAGGAGGAUUGCAGUUCCUGGACCUUGUUUGUUGUUGAUCGGUAUCAUUUUGCUAUCCAGGAGCAUAUCUUUGGGAGCUUUUUCCCUUAUCAACUGUACAAACAAGAAAAAAUAUCAGUAAUUGAAUAAAUGUUCAGACAUCAGAGUGAGUAUUUAUCAGUUUGCUGAUCAGUGAUCACCUCGGGGAUGAUGCGCUUGCCGACGCACGGCACGGCCGCGGCGACGAACACGGCCACAGCAAUCUUCUCCGGGAACCUUUCCAUGGCGAGGGCGAUGCUGAGGCCACCGAAGCUGUGCCCGACGAGGAUCAGCCUCUCGCCGGCCGGAGCCUCAGCCACUGCAUCGAGGAGCGGCUGCGAGUACUCCUCGAAGGAGUGCACCUCGUCAACCCGUGCUGGGUGGACGCCGGACGCGGCGAGGUCGAGCGCCGUCACGCGGUGCCCCUCGGAGCGGAGCAUGGUGACCACCUUGUACCAGCACCAUGCUCCGUGGCAGAGGCCAUGGACAAGGAUGAAAUGCUUGCUGCUACUGCUGCUGCCCUCCAUUUCCUGUAAGUGUUUGUGGUUUGCUCUUCUGCAAGUUUCUGACGCUGUGAUAGUAGCGAUGAAUUGAUUUAUACAUACAUUAUCGAGAAAUAUAUAUGACAGUGGCAUUUAUAAUUUUAUAUGCAGUAGGUAUCAUUUAGAUUGAUGAUAUAUUUACUGGCUUGAACGUGCUAACUGUCAGCCUUUGUAAAGAAAAUUGUGUGGACUUUGAACGUACUAACUGACAGUGAUCACUAGUUUAGUUUGGUGUCCAUUACAUGUUCUAAAAUAAAACCCGACAAUUUUAUAUGGAUAAUUAGCUCCAGGUACCUUCAAAUUUACUUGGGAGAUGUUCACCUUUUUGACUUUUUCUGGAUUUUUUCCUCAAAUUUCUACCGUCCCUUCUCUUUUCCUAAUUAAUUGAGCUGGUCCUUCCCCUCUGUUUUCUGCACUACCCUCCUUAUCUCCUUCUCUUUGUUCAUAGCUAACACUGAAUAUUAUUUGCAUACACUGGAGAUGGCCUAAGCUAGAUGUGCUUCUCUCUCUUAUGCUGUGACUGUGAGCCUGUGAGGUCAAUCACUGUUGGCAAGUCCUAUAUUAUCAGAUUUCAUCAAUUAUUGGCACACAAGAUCAAACAAAGCAAUGAGAACCAAACUUCUAUUAUUUAUACUUGUAGCGAUGGACUGUAAGUAGGCUUCAUGACGAAGAAGCACUGAUUAUUUCCAAACUGGCAUUUUUCUACUCGUAUUUGUUGGCUAUCUUGAUCAGAAUGUCGCAGAGUUCCCUGGGCUUGGAGUUCAUGACGGCGUGGUCAGCUCCGGCGAUCUCCUCGACGUCCGUGCCAGGGCUCAUCGCCACCAUCCACCGCUGCAUCUCCUCGGUGCUGGAGCUGUCAGCCUUGGCGAUCACGUACACCUUCUUCACCGAUCCAUAGUUGCCAUUGGUGAGCAAGCUCUCAUCUUUCAUCACCGGAUCAUCCAUGAACUGAUUGCCAGGUCUCACCAGCAUCUUCGCCAGUGCCAGAUCCUGAAAUGUGUGGUAGUAGCAUUUUUUUAAUGGAAAGAUGAUUACAUGGGCAUUUGACACAACAGUGUACCGAUGUGACAGGAUCCUCUGCAGUCGACUAUACCGUGCCAUUCCUGAUCCCUUGUAACCUACCUCUGCUGGACUUUGCUGGUAGUAUUUUUGUGCCAAGAAGGUUGGUCCCAAAUUGAUUGCAACUCCUGAGCCCUGGCUAUUGUUUAUGGCCACCAUUUCGCAAUCCAUAAGUAAUCCUUCAGGUGCAGUUCUUCUCAUGAACUAAGCAUAUCGAUCACACAACAAAAAACAAAAAUAUUAGUGGUGGUUAACCUAGCAUUAGUAGUCAUUUUGCAUUAAAGGACAAUUAUAGUUCACUGGUUUGAUUUUGUAAUUUGCUAAUGCUUUGCCUAUAGCUUAUUUGAAGCAAAUGCCAAAAUAAA